rnacentral:rRNA from 1 species
GGUUUAAUUCGAAGCAACGCGAAAAACCUUACCAAGUCUUGACAUCCUGAUGACGUUCCUUAACCGGAACUUUUCUUCGGAACAUCAGAGACAGGUGGUGCAUGGUUGUCGUCAGCUCGUGUCGUGAGAUGUUGGGUUAAGUCCCGCAACGAGCGCAACCCCUAUUUCCAGUAGCCAGCAGUAAGAUGGGCACUCUGGAGAGACUGCCGGGGAUAACCCGGA